UUCAGUUUACAACAUGAAGAUCCUGCUUUCAACAUCUGAUCAACACCUGAUUUUCAUCUGAGAGUACCAACAUGUUACAAAUGAGAAUUUUCCCCACAAAUUCUUUGCACAACUGGACCACCACCUAUUUAAUUUGAUGACAAUUUCAAGGCAAACAGCAUUCAAAACUGGCAAGACAGCAGAUACCCUGGCUAAUCUUUUAAAGGUUUAUGAUGAGCAGGAACUGCAUGAUGUCAGUUCAUGACGGACUACUCUUAUCAGAGGUCUUUUGGUCUUG